rnacentral:rRNA from 1 species
UGCAGAAUCCCGUGAACCAUCGAGUCUUUGAACGCAAGUUGCGCCCUAAGCCAUUUGGCCGAGGGCACGUCUGCCUGGGCGUCAAUCAUCUAUUCGUCACCCAACCUCUGCUCCCCGAAAAGUAGCUUUGGUCCCGGGUACGGAAGUUGGCCUCCCGUGCUCUUGAAGCGCGGCUGGCCUAAAACUGAGCAUCGGACUGAUGAUCUCCGAGGCACGCGGUGGUUGUUCAUUCCUACCUCGUGACGUUGCCAAGGAGCGUCUCCCGUACGAAGCUCCACGACCCUAGAUUUACUAUCGAUGCGACCCCAGGUCAGGCGGGGCCACCCGCUGAAUUUAAGCAUAUCAAUAAGCGGAGGAAAAGAAACUAACAAGGAUUCCCCUAGUAGCGGCGAGCGAACCGGGAAAUGCCCACCAUGAAAAUCGAGCUCCUUUGGUGCUCGA